AAAGGUUUAGUUAAAUCAUAACGCUAAUUUGUCAAAUUAUAAUUACCCUAAGGUAGCCUUUU
rnacentral:tRNA from 1 species